rnacentral:rRNA from 1 species
UAUAGAGGUCCCAAGCGUUGUACGGAUUUACUGGGCGUAAAGGGUGCGUAGGUGGCGGGGUAAGUUCGAUGUGAAAUCUCCGAGCUCAACUCGGAAAUGGCAUUGAAUACUAUCUUGCUUGAGGGUCGGAGGGGAGACUGGAAUUUUCGGUGUAGCAGUGAAAUGCGUAGAUAUCGAGAGGAACACCAGUGGCGAAGGCGAGUCUCUGGACGACUCCUGACACUGAGGCACGAAAGCUCGGGGAGCAAACAGG